UUUAAGUGCAUAUUUUAAUUGCAUAUUAUGGGGUUUUUUAGUGCAUAAGUGCUUGCAUAUUUAGAGCUUUUUUAGAGCUACAAGUCCUCUGCCCUAGUUAUUUGGUGUGUGAAAACCAAAAAAAUAGAACUGAAUUCUGUCCAUCCACUGCGAUUAUAAGUGCGGACAUAUAUGAAAAUUGGAUUAGGACUAAUAAGAACCAUAACCAUUAUCCACCAGUUGUUGAUAUUCCAAUGGUCCAUUUAAGGAGAAGUAUUGGAUUGGCAAGAACAAGUACUGGAAGAACAUCAAAUUCAAUAAGAAAUAUGUAUAACAAUGGAAUUGCAAAUCCAGAUGGUGCAAGGAAUUAUACAUUUCUCCAAUCCCAAGCAAGUGUGCAAAGAAUGCGUCAUUGUCGACGUCCACCAAACCCAGACACUAUUGAAGAGUUGGCAGAUAUUCUGAAUGAACAUAUGACAUAUGCAUCAACCUUGCAGCAUCCACCUUCAAGGUUUUUACAACAACUAUUGAAGCUGAGGAAGAAACUGUUGGAUUAGUAUUUUUUAAUUUAGAUGCCAUCGAAAAGUACAGAAGUGAGAUUUUAUCUGUCAGAGUUGCAGGAAUUGAUGGAACCUUUAAAACAGUACCAAAACGUCCUUCACAGUUUACUAAUGGUUGCCUUCUGACCUUUCAUGUACUUUUUCACAAUAUUUCUUUUCCAAUGGUAUAUGCUCUCACAUCAAAAAUGACGCAAGCAACAUAUGAAUCGUUCUUCCAUAUUGUUUUGAGAAUUUUGCCAUUGAAUUAUGCUCAACUGACUAUUGUUACAGACUAUGAAAGAGGCUUGAUGAAUGCUGUGAGAAGCAUUUUUAAUGAAAGCAAUCUGCAGGGUUGUUGGUUUCACUUUUGCCAAGUACUUCCACAGUUUUCAAGUUUUUAUGCAUUCUGGUUUUAUAAUAAAUUUAUUACUACAGGCUGUUAUUCGAUACUGCCUGAGAACCUUAAAUAGUGUUUUUCACUUAUUUCAAAAUAGUCCAGAAGCUAAUCGAGUAUUAAGAAUGGUAAUGUAAAUAUGUAAUAAGUAGAGUUCGGGUUUACUUAAAUAUUGUUUACAACCAUUACUAUGGAUAACUGUCAAAUAUUCUCCAACACUUAAAAUAUACUUAAGAGAGCUUACUCCCAUUAAGCUACUAGAUACUCAUUAUUCUAGACACUAUAUUAUUAUUUGAAAUUUCAUACUUGGGAUGCUUAUUAAUUUUCAGGUAUUGGCAUUGCCUCAUCUCCCAGCAGAAGUACACCCUGAGUGUCAAUUUAGUAUGGCAGAAGGGUUUAAUACCAUAGUUGAGUAUGCCAAUGGUAUUGAAGAAAUAUCAGAACGAUUACAAGGUUUUUUAAUUGGGUAUAUUCAACAUUUUUGGUUUAAUCAAAUAGGCGUCACAUGUAUAAGUGUU